GAAUAAGGCUGUAACGUAACAAAAUGUGUUUAAAAAGUAAAGGGAUCUGAAUACUUCCGAAUGCUCUGUCUCUGUCAUCACUCCUAAUAUUGGUUGGACAUAACUCACAAUGUCAGUGGCUCUGUAAAUACAUAAUGUUGUGAGGGUCUUAUAGAAUCCUGGAGUUGGUAUAUUAUAUUACUUGUACAUAAAGCUUUUGUGAAAUAAUACAAGGCCAUUUUACUGAUGAAUUGACUGAAUAAUAAUUCAACCUGUGUCCCAAUUAACAGGCAAAUCAUAACUAUAACUUGCAGAAACUUCUUUCACCAACUUUUCAUUUUGUAACAGGUGGUAUGUAUUGUUGUGUUGAAUAGAAAAUAUACAACUGCUAGGUCUCCUGAGGUGCACAUGUAGAGCUAGCAAGAGCAUGUAUGAUUUAGUCCUCGAUAAAUUACUUGCAUACACAAAAUUGCCUUUCAUGUUUAGAGUGGUUGUGGGAACUGUGGUGCCUGCAGAUUUCCCCUCCCUCACUGGUGAUGUUGCAAAAGCAGAUUUCCCCUCCACCCAACUUGUCGCAGCCAUGCUGAUCGACGUCCCAACCUACACUGGCAGAAUGCCCAAAAGCUUCCUGAGUCCAUGCUUGUGAUGACAUUGCUGCUCGUGCUCAUUCUCGCGCUGCUCCGGUGGAGUAGUCCCAAAAUGGCAGCAGCCACGAUAUAGCGUUUGCGAACAUGCCCUUCCCAUUGAACUACAAGCACAGUCAGAGAACUGUGUUAAAGCACAAGAACUUGAAAAUCUAGUUCAGUCCACGCAGCCGUAAGGUGCGUUGUCGGGUAGAGAAGCCUGUGGAGGUACCACAACCAUCAGACCGUGAGACGGAAGUGGGAAAGCUGCCCCAAGACCUCCCGACACGAUACCGGAGUCCAAGUUCAAAGACCUGUCUGUUUUUAACUUCAACUCCUCCUCCCAAGACUCGGGCUCCUCCUUUCCUCAGAGAGCGACUAACGAUGAGAAGAAGAAGGUGGCAACUAAGCCAAGAAAUGGUGGUGUCAGGAAGCCUGCAGCCUGGCAGAAACCAACAACACGUAAAGAAACCAAGCAGAAGAUCAAGAUGCAGAGGUUGGAGGCGAUCAACCGGCAGUGGGGCUUUGGUGGAGAAGGAGAUGUCAGAGAGGAAGGAGAGCAGGUCAUACACCAGCCCCUCUCAGCUAGAUAAGCUCUCUGCUAAACACCUCAAACAAAAUGAGAAAUCUACUACAAAGCCAGUUCUAUUCUCUCAUCCCAAGCACACUCCCAAACGAUCCUGUGCAGAAGAGAAAAACCUUUCACAGAGUACCCCGCAAAAAACAAGGUGUCUCCCGGCCAGGGUAGAUGUCAGACGGGAGAGGGUCCCACUCCCAGCUCUGCCUACCAUGUUGACAGCCCCAGACAGAAGGACCACCACCAGCACCAGGAGAUCCAGAGGAGGAGAGCACCAGAGGGGCAGCAGCCCUUGUUCCCCGGCCCCCCUGGGGAAGACAUCUCCAGGGAGAGUCUCACAGAGCAGCCCAGCUGUUGUGAAAAGAAACCACAAGGGAUAGACACCCCUGCACCUGGCUGCUAUAAAGGGAGAUGUGGAGACAGUGAAGGAGCUCCUAGACCAGGGGGCUGACCCCAACCUGAAAGACAACGCUGGAUGGACCCUACUGCAUGAAGCGUAUAACCUGGGCCACCAGUGUGUAGUGGAGGUGUUGGUUAGGAGAGGGGUGCUGUUGAACACACCAGGCAAUGAGAACGACUCUCAUAUACUUGACGCUGUCAACACGGAGCUUCACAGAGCGUUUUGAAUAUGUUUGGUCUUCGUCCUGUGGACUAUGCUGUGAACUCAGGCAAUCCUUCAGUCAGCCUCUGAAGGAUCCCAACUCCCCUCUCAGUCCUCCACCCAACCUCAGUAAGUCUAUUGUGUUUCAGGCCAGUGAUGGGGUGAGACGGAAGGAACAGUUGGUAGUAUUGGGCAGUAAACUGUCCCAACAUAACCAGCUGGCCAAACUGGGAAUCCCCCUGGGAGGAAAGAGGGCUGAUGCCUUCUCUUGCUCAGUCACCCAUGUGGUGGUACCAGACGGGCCGAUGCCCACCACCCUGUUCUCUCUCCUGGGUCUCCUGAACGGUUGCUGGGUCCUCAACUUCAGCUGUAAAUAACCUAAGGCCCAAUAAAAUCUGCUUUGCAGAGAAUGAGGAUGGAAUCACGGAAUCCAGACAUUAAAACGGACUUCAACAAUAUUCCAAAAUGUAUUGAACUGAACAAAAUACAUGUAAAGUGUUGGUCCCAUUUUUUUAUGAGCUGAAAUAAAAGAUCCCAGAAAUGUUCCAUACGCA
rnacentral:lncRNA from 1 species